CUGUGGGAUUCUAGGCAGGUGCUCUACCACUGAGCCACACCCCAGCCCCUCACUGGGGGAUUCUAGGCAGGUGCUCUACCACUGAGCCACACCCCAGCCCCUCACUGGGGGAUUCUAGGCAGGUGCUCUACCACUGAGCCACACCCCAGCCCCUCACUGGGGGAUUCUAGGCAGGUGCUCUACCACUGAGCCACACCCCAGCCCCUCACUGGGGGAUUCUAGGCAGGUGCUCUACCACUGAGCCACACCCCAGCCCCUCACUGGGGGAUUCUAGGCAGGUGCUCUACCACUGAGCCACACCCCAGCCCCUCACUGGGGGAUUCUAGGCAGCUGCUCUACCACUGAGCCACACCCCAGCCCCUCACUGGGGGAUUCUAGGCAGGUGCUCUACCACUGAGCCACACCCC